GCUUGCUUCGGCCACACAGAUACUAACAUUGGACUGAUACAGAGAAGAUGAGCAGGGCCCCCGUGCAAGGAAGACAUGCAAAUUCGUGAAGCGUUCCAUAUUUUU
ensembl:snRNA U6 U6 spliceosomal RNA